rnacentral:rRNA from 1 species
GAUGAACGCUGGCGGCGUGCCUAAUACAUGCAAGUCGAGCGAACGGACGAGAAGCUUGCUUCUCUGAUGUUAGCGGCGGACGGGUGAGUAACACGUGGAUAACCUACCUAUAAGACUGGGAUAACUUCGGGAAACCGGAGCUAAUACCGGAUAAUAUUUUGAACCGCAUGGUUCAAAAGUGAAAGACGGUCUUGCUGUCACUUAUAGAUGGAUCCGCGCUGCAUUCGCUAGUUGGUAAGGUAACGGCUUACCAAGGCAACGAUGCAUAGCCGACCUGAGAGGGUGAUCGGCCACACUGGAACUGAGACACGGUCCAGACUCCUACGGGAGGCAGCAGUAGGGAAUCUUCCGCAAUGGGCGAAAGCCUGACGGAGCAACGCCGCGUGAGUGAUGAAGGUCUUCGGAUCGUAAAACUCUGUUAUUAGGGAAGAACAUAUGUGUAAGUAACUGUGCACAUCUUGACGGUACCUAAUCAGAAAGCCCCGGCUAACUACGUG